CCCUGUGUGGUGCAAACAGUUAACAUGUUCGGCUGCUAAACGAAAGAUUAGAGGUUCAAGUCCUCCCAGAGGUG
rnacentral:tRNA from 1 species